rnacentral:rRNA from 1 species
UACGUAGGGUGCAAGCGUUGUCCGGAAUUAUUGGGCGUAAAGAGCUCGUAGGCGGUUUGUCGCGUCUGCUGUGAAAUCCCGAGGCUCAACCUCGGGCCUGCAGUGGGUACGGGCAGACUAGAGUGCGGUAGGGGAGAUUGGAAUUCCUGGUGUAGCGGUGGAAUGCGCAGAUAUCAGGAGGAACACCAAUGGCGAAGGCAGAUCUCUGGGCCGUAACUGACGCUGAGGAGCGAAAGCAUGGGGAGCAAACAGG